AACGAACGCUGGCGGCAGGCUUAACAUAUGCAAGUCGAGCGCCCCGCAAGGGGCGGGGCAGACGGGGGAGUAACGCGUGGGAAUCUACCCAUCUCUACGGAAUAACGCAGGGAAACGUGUGCUAAUACCGUAUACGUCCUUCGGGAGAAAGAUUUUUCGGAGAUGGAUGAGCCCGCGUUGGAUUAGCUAGUUGGUGGGGUAAAGGCCUACCAAGUCGACGAUCCAUAGCUGGUCUGCGAGGCUGAUCAGCCACACUGGGACUGAGACACGGCCCAGACUCCUACGGGAGGCAGCAGUGGGGAAUAUUGGACAAUGGGCGCAAGCCUGAUCCAGCCAUGCCGCGUGAGUGAUGAAGGCCCUAGGGUUGUAAAGCUCUUUCACCGGUGAAGAUAAUGACGGUAACCGGAGAAGAAGCCCCGGCUAACUUCGUGCCAGCCGCCGCAGUAACAC
rnacentral:rRNA from 1 species